UUGCUGGGAUGUCACCGAGAUAGAGAGAGGAGAUCUCCUUUCAAAAUUAAAAACCUCUGUAGUGCAGAGCCGAGAUUUGUCCUUAGAAUUUUCUUUUUUAGGUUUAGUCCAAUCUCAAUUUCGCUUUUAUGCUUUUUAGGUUUUCGAUCUGUGCUUUGAGCAGCUAGAGUCAUGAACAGAGAUAAACAAGAGGCUGAGGUUUGAGCGGAGAAUUGAGAGACUGAAGAACUUUGAGCAGAGUCACUAACAGACAUCAGAUUGAGCAUAAUUGCAGAGUCAAUUUAAUGCAAUGGCCAUUUCCCGUGACUUAGUUGCUGCAGCGAAAUUUUGUGGAGGGUUUGAGGAGAGCCUUAAUGCUGUCCUGAAGGAAGUCACUGCUUCCAAUAAUCUUAUUUAUUGAUGUUAUGAAGUCACUUCCGCUGCUACUUGAGAGUAACUAGCACAUUAUGAUUGCCAUGUAUUAUUAAAAGUACAACUUGUAUGUUUUAGAUUGUGGCCACAUUUUUCCUAGUUCUCUUACAAAUUAUAGAUGGUU